rnacentral:lncRNA from 1 species
CCUCUUCGGAGGACACGGAAUUGAUGCUACGGCCCUAGAGAUACCCGGCAAAGGGUAGGAAUGAGCGGAGUCUAGACCAGAUCGGCGUCUGAACCCCGGAAAAAUCCUCCAUCUCACUUGCCCGCAGCCCUAGGAUCCUAGAAAAGCCAACAACGCUCAGCUUUCAGUUUGAAGAGCUUGCGUUGCUUUGCGACCAUAGACACAUAAAUCCACACUCGAACACACGCAUACACAGCUAGAGAGCGGGAGAGAGCGAGUCGGCGCGUUGGUAGCCGCGGCCUGCAUGGCGGAACCAGCGCUGGCACCAGCUCAAGGGGAAGCCAAACUGUAGUGACCGGAAAUGUUCCAAGGACAGAAUAUGGCAUUCUUUCUGACCAUGUUGCCAGAAUUUCUCCAACCUCGAUACAUCUGGAUUUGUUUAAUGCUACACCAGGGAGAAAAAGAGAGGCAAAUUUAGAGAGACAUGCUGGCUAAGCCGGCAAGGAAAUGCGGGGAGACUCUUUAGAGAAAGAAUGGAGAGGAAGAGACAAGACCAUGGGGAAAGGCAGUUUAGAGGCCCAGGAAACGGGCUGGUGCGGAGGCUUCUCCGGCCCCGCGCGCUCUGGCAUUCUGUGAGAGGGAGAACGCAGAAACAGAGAACAGAGAGCGACAGGAAAGGAGCCGCAGAAGGGGUUGGCCUGGGCGUGCUGCGUGGGAGCAUCCCUCCAGCCACGACGCUGCGGUCUAGGGAGCGGGAGGCCGACUCCGGAGGCCAGGAGCCUGCUUAGUCGGGCUCUUCCACUCGGCCAGGAAACACCCGAGGACUCCAGGGCUUGUGGAGCCGGGACUGAGGGUUGGCUCAGACCCAGUGCCCCCGGGGACCCCGAUCCCGGAAUCCAGCAAAGGUUGGGCCACCGCGGUCCGCCGCUGGGCCUUCUUCAGUGCGAGUCCUGGGAGAAGCCAGCGGGGAAGACUCAGGCCCUGGGGCUCUGGGUUGGAGCCCGCACUGAGGGUGGGUGGGAGCCGACGUCCAGGCGAGAGGCGAGGAGGAGGCCCCGCCCUAAAGCUGGGGGCCCAGUUCUGGGAGCGGCUGAGGCCGCAGCUGGACUCGCAGGAUUCGGGGUGCGCGCAGCUCGCACGUGGCACGGCACCUUCGGCAGGCGGCGCCCCUAAUUCUCAGCCCCGCCCCGCUUCGUUUGCCGGGCCUGGAUGGUGUCAGGAUUGACGGUGGACGUCGAGUCGCCGCGAGCAGAUUCCUCGCGGUUAUUGGAACACAAAGAAGCCUGCUUCACAAGCGACUUGAGCGGUGCACAGGUGAAACGAUUCUUAGUUUUUGGACGACGCGGAUCAGAACGUUACACGGAAGCGAAGCGCGCCUUAUUCUUUGUCAGCACUGAAAGAGAGAAAGCAAAGAACAAAAAAUUCAACUCAAGCACAUCUGAGAGCCGCAGGUUAACGGCUGUCACAAUACUGCUGCUAACCUUCUGAAAAGACAACGUCGGACCUGGAGUCGCCAGGAAAACACAGCUGGGCAAGACUGAAGGAGGGAGAAAACCUCAGGUCCUGGAGGGAAAAUGAAAGGACAUGAUUGCAGUCAAUAGUGCGUUAAUGAGGUGGAUUCUACUGUACACACACAUACACCCCCCCCCCCCACACACACACCCUAUACAUUGUAGAGAGAAUUUCACUCAGUGGGAAA